GACCGAACCGACUUACGUUGAAAAGUGAGCGGAUGAACUGAGGGUAGCGGAGAAAUUCCAAUCGAACCUGGAGAUAGCUGGUUCUCUCCGAAAUAGCUUUAGGGCUAGCCUCAAGUGAUGAUUAUUGGAGGUAGAGCACUGUUUGGACGAGGGGCCCCUCUCGGGUUACCGAAUUCAGACAAACUCCGAAUGCCAAUUAAUUUAACUUGGGAGUCAGAACAUGGGUGAUAAGGUCCGUGUUCGAAAGGGAAACAGCCCAGACCACCAGCUAAGGUCCCAAAAUAUAUGUUAAGUGGAAAAGGAUGUGGCGUUGCCCAGACAACUAGGAUGUUGGCUUAGAAGCAGCCAUCAUUUAAAGAGUGCGUAAUAGCUCACUAGUCGAGUGACACUGCGCCGAAAAUGUACCGGGGCUAAACAUAUUACCGAAGCUGUGGAUUGUCCUUUGGACAAUGGUAGGAGAGCGUUCUAAGGGCGUUGAAGCAUGAUCGUAAGGACAUGUGGAGCGCUUAGAAGUGAGAAUGCCGGUGUGAGUAGUGAAAGACGGGUGAGAAUCCCGUCCACCGAUUGACUAAGGUUUCCAGAGGAAGGCUCGUCCGCUCUGGGUUAGUCGGGUCCUAAGCUGAGGCCGACAGGCGUAGGCGAUGGAUAAC
rnacentral:rRNA from 1 species